CUAGAAAACAAAAAUUAAGUCUGAGACCUUCUUAAUCAACUAAACUGAACCACUGGAAUGAAAACCAGGCCCUGAACGAUGGGGAGCCAUGAGGGCAGGGCCACCGGACGCAAUGCUGGUUGAUACAUCCCUCCCCAAGUAAUUCAUGGAAACUAGAAUUUCUCCUCUCCCAGUAGGCCAGAGGACCCUCCUCACGCCCAAGGACAUGCAGCCUCAGACCUGGAGGAAGGAAUCUGCCCAAUCAGGCCAAGAAGAAUCUAGACAGGCCUUACUCAGUUUUACUACUUUAUUCAUUAGCAACUGUGGCUAUGCAAUGGAGUUUCCAUAAAAAUCCCAAAAGACAGGAUUCAGAGACUUUCUGAAUAGUUGAACACAUGGUGGUGCACCCAGAGAAGACAUGGCAGCUCCAAGUCCUUCCCCCUUACCUCACCCUAUGCGUCUCUUUAUCUGGAAGAGUUCUGUGAGUCACUCAAACAAAUUAAUCUCAAGGAGCAAGGUUGUAAGGACCUUGAUUUAUAGUAUGUGGAUUAGCAACAUAAACAAAAUGACCAGGGCUUGCAACUGGCAUCUAAAGUCACGUGAGGUAAUCCUAAGGACCAAUCCCUUAACUCAUGGGAUCUGAUGCUAUCUCCAAGUAGAAAGUGCCAGAACUGAACUGGUCUAUAGAGAGAAAAAUAGACACUUCAUUUGUCUGAUGCUCAGCCUACAUUAAGUAACAUAUUUAUAGGUUCCAGGGAAUAGGAUGAGGGUACCUUUCUGUUUACUGCACUAAGAAACCCCAAUUUUCCCUUUAAAUUAGAAAAUAAAAAAAUAAAAAGGUCAGUAUUAUGUUAUCCUUAUUCUCCAGAGAAAUGAAUUUACUGAGCUUUGUCAUAAUGUCUGCAGCCUUUCAAGAGAAUCCAAGUAUGUGAACAAUCUUUGUGUUUUUUUAAAAACAACAGUUGAAGUUAUUGUCCAGCAUGCUAUCUAGAUCUUAUGUUGUAAAUUUUGUGUAAAUUUAAUUCCAGGAAAACUUGUUUCUGUAACUAUAUUCAUCAGUGAAAACAGCAUGGCCCACAAGGUUGAGCCGCUUGCAUGGGCUACAGAAAACAUGAGUUAAAUCCAUUCCACUUCCUAGAGAUAGUUUCUGUCUUGUUUUAGCUCUAAAAAAUAGUCUUCAAUUUUAAAAACUGUGGUGAAAAACGCAUAACAUAAAAUUGACCUUCUUAACCAUUUUCAUAAGAACAGUUCAGUCAUGUUAAUUAUAUUCACAUUGUUGUGCAAUCAAUCUCCAGAGUUUUUCAUCUUGCAAAACUGCAAUUGUGUCCAUGGAACAAAAUUAUUUAAAAAAUUUAAAGCUGCCCCUAGUUCUCCAGUUAUUAGUCAUUUCUAUCUUUUUAAUUUUAAUAAUUUUUUCAGUGCUAGAGAUCCAACUCAGUGCCUUGCACAUGUUAGCCAAGCAUUCUAUCACUGAGCUAUACCCCAAACUUGAAGUCAUUUUUAUCUUAAUAAAUAAAAAGAAAAUGGCUUCAACUAUCUUUGAAAAAUUUGUAAAAACUUUUAUGACAUUAUAGGAAACAUUAAAUUUGUCUAAGUACCUGUAAAUACUGUGACUUCUGUAGAUAUUUGGUGAAGAGCACCUAAUAAACAGAGCAUGCUAUAACUUUUUACCUAAUUGAGCCCACUGACCUUCAAGCACUAUUAAGACGUGUGUUCAUCAGUCUUCCUUACUGUAACAAAACUCCUGAGACAAUCAACUUAAAAAGAAGAAAAACUUAUUUUGGCUCACAGUUUUAAAGGGCUCAGUUCAUGUCAGUUGGCCCUGUUGCUUUGGGGCCUGUGGUGAGGCAGAACGUUGUGGUAGUAGCUAUGGCAGAAAAGCUGGUCAACUUGUGGUAGCUGGGAAGCAGGGAAUAAGGGUGGGCACCAGGAUUACCAUGUCCCCUUUGGAAGCACACCCCAAUUAUCUAAGAGCUCCCACUAAUCCCAUCCUUUUAAAGGUCCCAUCACCUUCCAACAGCAUCAAGCUGAGCACCAAGAAUUUAACAUUUAUGCAUUUGGGGAACAUUCAGGAUGUUUUAUGGGU